rnacentral:tRNA from 1 species
GGGCACAUGGUGUAGUUGGUUUAUCACGCCCGCUUAGCAGAGUGCUGUAGUUAGACUGCGGGAGGUGUUGGGUUUAAUUCCCAAUGUGUCCA